AAGUAGGAGGCUACUUGUCCAAAGAAUGUAGCUGUAAUUAUAGUUAAAAAGUCCCUACAAAAUGGAAUUAAUCUGUUAUGAAGGUAGAACAUUAAAGCUACCGCCCCUGGUUUCAAUCUUAUAAAAUCAAGUUCUAAGUUCAAAUACAAACAUAACUGCACUUUUAAUUCACUCGCGAGUGAAUGCAUAUCAUCAAAUGCUUACAAAAUAUUCCAGGGACUGCAGCUUUAAUGUGUAAAAUGUUUUAGAUGUAGGUCAGUAUCAUAAUAGCUAACUAUCGUGACACGCGUGAGAUAAUAUCCAAAGUAAAGGGAUAAAUGAAGGACACCG